CCUCCACAGAUAAUAUCUGCUUCCAGCCACCAUCAUCAUCUGCCUGAAUGACUACAGGAGCUCCCUGCUUCUGCUGUUUCUCCCUUACAAUCCAUUCCCAACAGAUCAGCCAGCGUGACCCUUACACACAGAAGGCAGUUCAUGUUACGGCUCUGCUUAGAGCCCUUCAAUGAUCUGGAGUAUAAGAGCCAAAGUUCCUCCUCCCACAAACAUUCUAUUAUCUUGACAACCUCAAUUCCUAUCACUCUCCCCAUUCACUCUGCUCUGGUCACUCUGGUCUCUUGACCCAUCUUUAGGGCCUUUGCACACACUUGUGCACAAUGCGUCCUGUCUCAGGGCCUUUGCACAUGCUGUUGGGGGGUCAGACCGUGCACAUGCAUCCUGUCUCGGGGCCUUUGCACACACUGUGGGGGCCUGUACACAUGCAUCCUGUCUCAGGGCCUUUGCAUACGCUGUCUGGGGCCUGUGCACAUGCAUCCUGUCUCAGGGCCUUUGCACAUGC
rnacentral:lncRNA from 1 species